UCUGGACACUCUGGAAAGCGUCGUGGCUCCAUGCUGCGACCACCGAAGGGGUAACUCCAUGCUUUCAUGGAGGAAAACUCUCAGGUUCCCGUGACAGAGGGGGCAUG
rnacentral:ncRNA from 2 species